rnacentral:rRNA from 1 species
AUUGAACGCUGGCGGCAGGCCUAACACAUGCAAGUCGAACGAGUGGCGGACGGGAGAGUAAUGUAUGGGAAACUGCCUGAUGGAGGGGGAUAACUACUGGAAACGGUAGCUAAUACCGCAUACCUUCGGAUGGGCCCAGAUGGGAUUAGCUAGUAGGUGGGGUAAAGGCUCACAUAGGCGACGAACCCUAGCUGGUCUGAGAGGAUGACCAGCCACACUGGAACUGAGACACGGUCCAGACUCCUACGGGAGGCAGCAGUGGGGAAUAUUGCACAAUGGGCGAAAGCCUGAUGCAGCCAUGCCGCGUGUAUGAAGAAGGCCUUCGGGUUGUAAAGUACUUUCAGUUGGGAGGCGUUACCCACAGAAGAAGCACCGGCUAACUCCGUGCCAGCAGCCGCGGUAAUUC